CAGAUCCACAGGCAUCCAAUGAUCUGCCAAGUCUUUGUCAAAUGCUCUGUUAGCACAAAACCAGGAAAAAUCACCCACAGAUGAAAAUAUGAUCAAGAAAGAUGAGAAGCUGUAUGGUCAUGUUCCAGAAGCAUUCUCUCCUGGCGUUUCACCUACAUCUAUGGAUGAAGAAAAAGUCUCCCUAGGACAAGGAUACAUUCCAAUACUUCCCGCGUACCAUGCCCACAGCCAUAGAUGCUACAAAGAGAACAGCUCCACUUUCCUCACUGAAUAGGUAGUUCUCUCAAUCUGAAUUAGUCUGUUAACUGAGCAAACAGCAGAAGCCUUAAAUUUGGCCAGAAAAAAAUCCCUUUCUGAUUCAAAGAGUUGCCUGCCAUAAACAACAUAGAGCUCAGAUUUAUGCUGAAAAGCACCUGUCUCCAAGUGACUUUGCACAUUGUAAUUUUCCAAUGUAGAGAUAAUCUUCUGGUCUACAGAACAAUAACUUACUGAUGCCUGAUCUGCAGCAAAAUAAAUCAUAAACCAUGUUUACUAUGUGAAAUCUUUAAAAAUUACAGCAGCCCUAAUUCUAGACUCAUACAAGUACUGUAAGAAAGGGAACAAGAAUCCCUUGUUUCUUUGGUGAGCGACAGAAGAAUAAAAGAGGUCUACAGAUUUUAAAUUGUGCUUAGGAUUGUGAUAUAAUCUUGAACUGAGAGAGAAAGAAAAUGGACUUUAACCCUCCAGAAAGCCCCUAUAUCCUACCAUACUAGCUGAGCUCAGGAGUGGCAAAACCAAAAACAAAGUCAUAAAUUUUGGGUAUUUUUUUCUUGUUAGAAAAUAAUCUGGUACACUAGAAGAAACUGCUUUGAUUGUGGGUAGUAUUUUCUGUCUUCUGUCUUAAACACUAGCCACUGUCUAAAGCAAGGGCUCAAAAAAACACAAUUAUUCACAAAUUAUGGCCUGAAGAUAAGUUUCAUAACUUGAAUCUUCUUUCCCCUCACCCCAAACAGCAUAUUCAGACAUUAUACACAAUACAAUAAUGAACAGAAUUUUAAAAAGUUCUAAGUCUGAAAGGCAUGAAAAGCUAUUUCAAAUAGUUAAAAUGAUACAUUCCAAAUUAGAUUUUUUAACCAAUAUAUAACACAAUGUACUCACUUUG